AGUCAAGUAAUUAAGUGCAUGUGGUGGAUGCCUUGGCAGUCAGAGGCGAUGAAAGACGUGAUAGCCUGCGAAAAGCUCCGGGGAGGCGGCAAAUAUCCUUUGAUCCGGAGAUGUCUGAAUGGGGGAACCCACCUACUUUAAGGUAGGUAUUGCAACAUGAAUACAUAGUGUUGCAAGGCGAACGAGGGGAAGUGAAACAUCUCAGUACCCUUAGGAAAAGAAAUCAAUUGAGAUUCCCUCAGUAGCGGCGAGCGAACGGGGAUCAGCCCAUUAAGUUAUGUGUGUUUUAGUGGAACGCUCUGGGAAGUGCGAACGUAGAGGGUGAUAUUCCCGUACACGAAAGGGCACACAUAAUGAUGACGAGUAGGGCGAGGCACGUGAAACCUUGUCUGAAUAUGGGGGGACCAUCCUCCAAGGCUAAAUACUCCUGACUGACCGAUAGUGAACCAGUACCGUGAGGGAAAGGCGAAAAGAACCCCUGUGAGGGGAGUGAAAUAGAUCCUGAAACCGCAUGCAUACAAGCAGUGGGAGCACCUUCGUGGUGUGACUGCGUACCUUUUGUAUAAUGGGUCAGCGACUUAUAUUCAGUAGCGAGGUUAACCGUAUAGGGGAGCCGUAG
rnacentral:rRNA from 1 species